rnacentral:rRNA from 1 species
GGCGGUCCGCCGCCCGCGACGACACGAGAAGUCCACUGAACCUUAUCAUUUAGAGGAAGGAGAAGUCGUAACAAGGUUUCCGUAGGUGAACCUGCGGAAGGAUCAUUGUCGCAGCUCCGUCGAAGGACGCACCCGCAAACGGUUGACUCCCACCCUUCAUUCCCAUCCACCCCCCUGCACCCGGGGCGGAGGUCCUCAAGAUUUUGAUCGGUUUCUCGGCUCGGAUGCGCCUCCGCCCCUCCCCGCGCGUCGGCCUCGUCGGCGGCCACGGGGCGGGGGGACAACCAACCUCCCGGCGCGGCAUGCGCCAAGGACCAGCGAACGGGGACCCGCCUGCGCACGCGCCCCGCUCCGAGCGGGGAGCCACGCGGUGUCGGUCGCCCCCAACGGAACGGAUGAGUCACCGAACGACUCCCGGCAACGGAUAUCUAGGCUCUCGCAUCGAUGAAGAACGUAGCGAAAUGCGAUACGUGGUGUGAAUUGCAGAAUCCCGUGAACCAUCGAAUCUUCGAACGCAAGUUGCGCCCGAGGCCGUCGGGUCGAGGGCACGCCUGCCUGGGCGUCACGCCCCGCGUCGCUCCCCGCCCCCCGCGCGCCUGCCGAGGGUGAGGAUGUGGAGAUUGGCCUGCCGUGCUCCGGCGCGGCCGGCUGAAGGACCUCGGCCCUCCCGUGGGGCGAGCACGGCGAGCGGUGGACGAAUUCGGCGCCAUGCGCACCGAUCUGCGGGCCAUACCGUAUGCCCUCAUCCUUGUCGUCUUGUCGCUCACUCGUCGCGAGGCGGAAGGAAAGGAACCCAUCCGCGAGCCGACGCGCGUCGUCGGUCGGAUCGCGACCCCAGGUCAGGCGGGGCCACCCGCCGAGUUUAAGCAUAUAAAUAAGCGGAGGAAAAGAA